CCCUUGGAUGUCCUGGGCCGCACGCGCGCUACACUGAGUGUCUGAGAUACGAGUCUGCCUGGUCCGGCAAGGUCUAGGUAAUCGCUAAAAGACACAUCAUGCUUGGGAUAGAUUAUUGCAAAUAUUAAUCUUGAACGAGGAAUUCCUAGUAAGCGCAAGUCAACAGCUUGCGUUGAUUACGUCCCUGCCCUUUGUACACACCGCCCGUCGCUACUACUGAUUGGAUGUUUAAGCGAGGUUCUCGAACUGCUAGCGACUUAGCUUCGGUGAGGUCGCAGUGUGGGAAGUGAACCUAGCUUUGGUGUCUAGAGGAAGUAAAAGUCGUAACA
rnacentral:rRNA from 1 species